GCUUCUGCAGCUCAGUUGGUUAGAGCGUGGUGCCGAUAACAUCAAGGUCCCAGGUUUGAUUCCUGUAUGGAGCA